UGCUUAAUGAUUUAGCCAUGCAGAUUCAUGGCAAUAUACGCUAUUCUGAGUCACUAGGAUGCCAUUAAACAUUAUGAGAGCA
rfam:Brachypodium distachyon strain Bd21 chromosome 4, whole genome shotgun sequence.